rnacentral:rRNA from 1 species
AGAGUUUGAUCCUGGCUCAGAUUGAACGCUGGCGGCAUGCUUAAUACAUGCAAGUCGAACGGUAACAGGCAUCAGUGAUCCCUUCGGGGUGAUCUUGGCGCUGACGAGUGGCGAACGGGUGAGUAAUGCUUGGGAAUCUGCCCUGUUGUGGGGGACAACCCGAGGAAACUCGGGCUAAUACCGCGUAAGCUCCACGGAGGAAAGCGGGGGAUCUUCGGACCUCGCGCUACAGGAUGAGCCCAAGUCGGAUUAGCUUGUUGGUGGGGUAAUGGCCUACCAAGGCGACGAUCCGUAGCUGGUCUGAGAGGACGAUCAGCCACACUGGGACUGAGACACGGCCCAGACUCCUACGGGAGGCAGCAGUAGGGAAUAUUGGACAAUGGGCGCAAGCCUGAUCCAGCAAUGCCGCGUGUGUGAAGAAGGCCUGCGGGUUGUAAAGCACUUUCAGUGGGGAAGACAAACUCGGGGCUAAUACCCUCGGGUCUCGACGUUACCCACAGAAGAAGCACCGGCCAACUCCGUGCCAGCAGCCGCGGUAAUACGGAGGGUGCGAGCGUUAAUCGGAAUUACUGGGCGUAAAGCGCACGCAGGUGGCUGGGUCAGUCGGUUGUGAAAUCCCCGGGCUUAACCUGGGAAUUGCGAUCGAAACUGCCCGGCUAGAGUAUGGGAGAGGGAAGUGGAAUUCCCGGUGUAGCGGUGAAAUGCAUAGAUAUCGGGAGGAACACCAGUGGCGAAGGCGGCUUCCUGGCCCAAUACUGACACUCAGGUGCGAAAGCGUGGGGAGCAAACAGGAUUAGAUACCCUGGUAGUCCACGCCGUAAACGAUGAGAACUAGAUGUCGGGGGGGAUUGGCCCCUCGGUGUCGCAGCUAACGCAUUAAGUUCUCCGCCUGGGGAGUACGCCGGCAACGGUAAAACUCAAAGGAAUUGACGGGGACCCGCACAAGCGGUGGAGCAUGUGGUUUAAUUCGAUGCAACGCGAAGAACCUUACCUGCCCUUGACAUCCUCGGAACUUGGCAGAGAUGCCUUGGUGCCUUCGGGAACCGAGUGACAGGUGCUGCAUGGCUGUCGUCAGCUCGUG